rnacentral:misc_RNA from 1 species
UUUCCGUAGGUGAACCAGCGGAGGGAUCAUUACCGAGUUUACAACUCCCAAACCCCUAUGUGAACGUUACCAAACUGUUGCCUCGGCGGGAAAUUCAUGCCCCGGGCGCGUCGCAGCCCCGGACCAAGGCGCCCGCCGGAGGACCAACCAAAACUCUUUUGUAUGUCCCUCGCGGACUUUUAUAAUUCUGAACCAUCUCGGCGCCCCUAGCGGGCGUUUCGAAAAUGAAUCAAAACUUUCAACAACGGAUCUCUUGGUUCUG